CUGUCUGGAGGAUGAUGAGGAUUCCAGCACCAGUACGAGCCUGGGCUCACCGUUGGAUGAUUUGGGACAGGAUUUUCCUACUCCGGGGCCAUUUCCAGGCCAUUCUCCGGAAAUGAGAGUUCUGAGCUAAGUAGAGAUGAACGGACGGGAUGCCAAGCCACAUGCUGAAGAAGGUAGGACCACAGACGGAAGGAAGGAGCCUGGGUGCCAGAAUCACUGCAUAGAGGGGGGCCACCCAACCGGGAAUGCCAGCAGUGGUGUGAUGUAAUGAGAAAUAAAGUUUUAUUGUGCCAGACCACAGAA